rnacentral:tRNA from 2 species
CCCUGGCUAGCUCAGCUGGCAGAGCGCUCCACUGGAAAUGAAGAGGACCCUGGUUCGAUACCGGGACCAGGUG